UCAUUUUUAUUUGUUCUGCCUGAGCGAGUCUGACCACACAUUUGAGACCACUAUGAUGACACAACAAAUGCGUUUGAUGGAUCGCAGGAAUAUGUUUUUGUAUGCUACAGUCCAAACUAUGUCUUCUGAUGGAGUGACUGACUACUGUCGGCAUUCAAAGGUUAUCCAACUUCAAUAAACGCUUGGAGGUGUCGCCCAUCUUCCCCGUUAUCCCCUGGGUAUUUAUACCUGUGUUUUCUGUCUGUCUGUUGUCUUGUUUGUUAAAGCCUACCAGUGUUUUUGUCUCAGCUCCUGUUGCCCCUAGUCUCUCUUUGUUAAAGCCUACCAGUGUUUUGUCUCAGCUCCUGUUGCCCCUAGUCUCUCUUUGUUAAAGCCUACCAGUGUUUUGUCUCAGCUCCUGUUGCCCCUAGUCUCUCUUUGUUAAAGCCUACCAGUGUUUUGUCUCAGUUCCUGUUGCCCCUAGUCUCUCUUUGUUAAAGCCUACCAGUGUUUUUGUCUCAGCUCCUGUUGCCCCUAGUCUCUCUUUGUUAAAGCCUACCAGUGUUUUUGUCUCAGCUCCUGUUGCCCCUAGUCUCUCUUUGUUAAAGCCUACCAGUGUUUUUGUCUCAGCUCCUGUUGCCCCUAGUCUCUCUUUGUUAAAGCCUACCAGUGUUUUGUCUCAGCUCCUGUUGCCCCUAGUCUCUCUUUGUUAAAGCCUACCAGUGUUUUGUCUCAGCUCCUGUUGCCCCUAGUCUCUCUUUGUUAAAGCCUACCAGUGUUUUUGUCUCAGCUCCUGUUGCCCCUAGUCUCUCUUUGUUAAAGCCUACCAGUGUUUUUGUCUCAGCUCCUGUUGCCCCUAGUCUCUCUUUGUUAAAGCCUACCAGUGUUUUUGUCUCAGCUCCUGUUGCCCCUAGUCUCUCUUUGUUAAAGCCUACCAGUGUUUUUGUCUCAGCUCCUGUUGCCCCUUUUCUCUCUUUGUUAAAGCCUACCAGUGUUUUGUCUCAGCUCCUGUUGCCCCUAGUCUCUCUUUGUUAAAGCCUACCAGUGUUUUUGUCUCAGCUCCUGUUGCCCCUAGUCUCUCUUUGUUAAAGCC